CAAAUACUCUGUCCGUCUAGAAGUACUUGUCAUCAAAAUGAAUUAAAAGGGAUGUAUCUAGAUGUAUUUUAGUUCUAGAUACAUCCUUUUUUGUCCAUUUUGAUGACAAGUAUUUUCGGACGAAGGGAGUACUAA
rfam:Triticum aestivum genome assembly, contig: Triticum_aestivum_CS42_TGACv1_scaffold_149879_2BS